rnacentral:rRNA from 1 species
UACGUAGGGCGCAAGCGUUGUCCGGAAUUAUUGGGCGUAAAGCGCACGUAGGCGGCUUUGCAAGUCCCAUGUGAAAUCCCACGGCUCAACCGUGGAAGUGCAUGGGAAACUGCAGAGCUUGAGUACUUAAGAGGGUCGCGGAAUUCCCGGUGUAGAGGUGAAAUUCGUAGAUAUCGGGAGGAACACCAGUGGCGAAGGCGGCGAUCUGGGAAGAUACUGACGCUGAGGUGCGAAAGCGUGGGGAGCAAACAGG